UAACACAUGCAAGUCGAGGGGCAGCGCGAGGUAGCAAUACUUUGGCGGCGACCGGCGAAAGGGUGAGUAACGCGUGAGCAACAUGCCCGUUGCAGGGGGAUAGUCGAUGGAAACGUCGCGUAAUACCCCGUAAUAUCAGUUAUCGCAUGGUGAAUGAUUGAAAGAUUAAUCGGCAACGGAUUGGCUCGCGUACCAUUAGCUAGUUGGUGGGGUAACGGCCCACCAAGGCGACGAUGGUUAGGGGUUCUGAGAGGAAGGUCCCCCACAUUGGAACUGAGACACGGUCCAGACUCCUACGGGAGGCAGCAGUGAGGAAUAUUGGUCAAUGGCCGAGAGGCUGAACCAGCCAUGCCGCGUGCGGGAGGACGGCCCUAUGGGUUGUAAACCGCUUUUGUUGGGGAGCAAUAACGCCCACGUGUGGGCUGAUGAGAGUACCCAGCGAAUAAGCAUCGGCUAACUCCGUGCCAGCAAGCCGCGGUAAUACG
rnacentral:rRNA from 1 species